CACCUACCUUGGAAGAGCUGGCAGGGAGGCGACAGCCUGUGUCCACCCCUGGAGCGAGACCCGCUGGGCCGGGAGGAGGUGGGAGCAGAGGCCCAGCUGGGGCGCGUGGUCUCCCGCCGCCCUGCGAGCCGGAAACCCGCGGAGGCUGUGGACAAGCAAAUUUCUGGGGUUUGGGCACUCCCCCGGGAGCCCCCAGCACGCAGGGUCACACGUGCAGUGGGUGGCUCUCACUUCCUCCCGGGAACAGCGCCGCCGCCGCCUUGAGGUUUCCACCUCCGCCGGCUCCUGCCCGCUGCCCCUCCCCGAGGAGGGACCCCGGUUGUUCUUUGGGGAGCCGGUUGCCCGGUCGGCUCCGGGUGGGCAGGGCGGACAGUCCCCCUGGGCGGGCCCCUUCCCGCCCUUCCCGCCGGCCCCUGAGCCCGCCGUCCCCUCCUGCUGCUCAGGGACUGGCCGGCUCCCUCUCCUGGGGCAGCGGUGGGACCCACAGCGUCAGGUGCUGUGGGUGCGUUCCUCCUCCCCAGGCCCAGCUGCCCCGCUGGCUGCGGAGGUUGUGUCCUUAGCAGGAGCACAGCUGGCUCUUCCUGCUUGGUGCCGGGCUCCUGGAGCCAGUGGAGUGUGCCUCCCGACCUGUCCCCUGGGAGGGGGCGGGACUCGCGUCCAGUGGGCUGAAUGUCUGGCAGGAUGGCUGGUCAGUGUAGCCAGGCUCCCCAGAGGGUCACGGCCCUGCUCAGGGGGGCACACGGGGGCUGGGGAGCACCCUGGGGCAGGGGGGCAUCGCUUGCUUGAUUCUUCCCCCCAGUUUGUGAUCCAGCUGGACCUCGGCCUCUGGAUGGUUUCCCUGUCAUUUCAGGGGCCAUGUAUGUCCCUUGCCAGCCUGGGAGAGCGUUGUGGGGGGUCCCCUUCCCCCAGCUUUGCUCUCUCCUGCUCGUGCCUGUCACCCCCACUAGGACCUGGUGCCUGCUCAAGGUCGGCCUGCUCUGGACUGGGGAGGUGGGGGGGGGCCCCCAUGACCCCUCUCCAUCUGCCUCACCCCUCCUGUCCCUGCCCUCCUUCCUCCCCACCCCCUCAGGGAGAAGGACCCUGGGCAGGAAUGGGGACAGUAGCCUGCGGGGUGGGUGGAGUCGAGACUGGGCAAGAGUGGGUCCUGCUGUGGGGUGAGGGCUGCCUUACAGCCCCACCAGCCCCAUCCUCCCCCUCCAGAUGAGCCCAGCCCCUCGUCCCAUCAUCCCCCACUGAGCUCCUGCCCAGUGCAGGGUCCUGGUGGCAAAGCCAGAGCGCACUGUCCUUGCUGGAAUGACUGAUUCAGCCUGAUACGGGCCGCAGCCAGUGCUGAGCCCUCCUGGCUGUGCUGUCCCCACCAGCUGGGCACUCCUCUCCCCCACCUGCUGCAGGCUCCCUUCUCUCUCCUCUGUGGCUCUCGUCACACUCACACUGCCGUCCCUCGUGUGCCCCUACCUGAUACAGCGAUACCACUCAUAUGUCCGUCACUGCUGGGCCCCAUGGAUGCCAAAGCUUGGGGCGGGCAUCUGCCUGCCAUUUGCUGCCCUCUGCCCUCUGCCCUCUGCCCAGGACCUAGAGAAGAGCCUGCCACCUGCUCGCUGCUCGGCAGGUGUCCCUGAGCACUGCACCCCGUCAGCUCCUGGCUGUGGGUUGUCCUCCUGCUGCAGGGGACACAUCUGGCUUUUGUGGGGCUUGAUGUUCAGACAAAUUUGGGCCCCAUCUUUAAGAACCUGGAGAUGGAGUUCUGUACAAAGCCAGCCUGGGGCCUUGUGCCUCAGCUGAAGGUAAACCCGCUCCAGCUGAACGGAACCACGUCCCAGGGACGGAACUGCGUGCAGAGGAGCCGGCUGCAGACGUGGGGAGAAGGGCGUGGGGAGAAGGGCGAGAGGGUCUGCACCGCAGCUUGGCGGGGAUCAGCGGGGAUCAAGCAGUGCUACAGAACCCGGGGCCCAGCCAGGAAGUGACGUGAGGGACACGUGUGGCCCUGCUUUCCCAGGGAUCUGGGAAGAGAGCCCAGAGAGAUGACCGGUUCCAGCAGGACUGAACCCUCUGCCAGCCGGUGCUUUCCCACUCGUUGCUGGCCCCCACACCCCCUGUUGGCCACCAGGAAUGUGUCACCGCAGUCUUGGGGUCCCUGGGAAGGCUCCCCAGGCCUGGCUGGAAGCUUCCUUCCUCCCGGGCCCUGGGUGGGAACCUGCCCUCCUGCAGCCACCGCCAGCCCCUUGCUUCACAGAUGAGGCCGGGACAGGCUCCUGGGCCUGGGCCAGGAGGCUGGUGCUGCCCUCGGUGACUUGAGGACACAGGCCUGGAUCCAGCUGCUGCACAGACUGCUCCUCCACCAGCUGCCUAAACCCUGUCCCUGGGGAAGGGUGCCCUGGUCCCAGCCUGCCUGGGAUCCGGGCAGCCCUCUUCGAGGCGGGUAGAGCCAGUGCCUGCGACCUUCUCUCUGGCGCUCAGUGGCCCCUGGCUGGAGGAGGAAACCACGGCUCAGGUGGGUGCCUGACGUGCCAGGACCACUCAGCUACACCCUGGCAUAGCUGCCACCAGAGCCCCUGUCUCUCUGCUCUAGAAACUGCUGGGAACAAGGCCUGUCCUCUUGAGUGGUGCCCGCGCUGGCCCUGGGUGUGGUGGGCACCACAAGCUUCACGCUGGACCAGUGGCUGAGGUGCACGUAUGAGCCCCCUCCCCUGCGAGGUGGGCCAGGGGGAGGCACUGCUCAUGCCUCUGCAUGGUUCUGGUAUCCUGCAUAGCUGGGCAGGCAGCGGGUGUCCAUUAAGUGCAUCUGGAGUGAACUGAAUAAACAGGCGCCCAAGCUUUGGGGACCGUCAUACUUUGCACUGUAGUUUCUUCCCAGAUCAGUGCCCAGGCCAAGCACAGGGCCUGGCCCCCAGGGGGGUGCUGGAAAGUUCUCUGAGAUUCAUGGUGACUUAUCACAGACUUUGCCUUCAAGCCAGUAAGCCUGGGGUUUCCCAGCUUGUGGGGGCCUCUCCUUCUGGCUUCCCAGCUCUCCACGGCCCUCUGGGGCUCUUCCCUGCCUCAGGGCCUUUGCUCUCGCUGCCCGCCUCUGGACAUCUCCUGGGCUGGGGCUCUCCUCCCUAAAGGUGGCUUCAGCUCAGGCACCUGCAGAGGCUUCCUCUGCCUCUCCCGAACACCUCCCCGGGGCUCCCUCUGCCUCUCCCGAGCACCUCCCCGGGGCUCCCUCUGCCUCUCCCGAGCCCCUCCCCGGGGCUCCCUCUGCCUCUCCCGAGCACCUCCCCGGGGCUCCCUCUGCCUCUCCCGAGCACCUCCCCGGGGCUCCCUCUGCCUCUCCCGAGCACCUCCCCGGCUUGUUGGGGCUCUUUAUUUCUUUUCUUGAGUUUUGCC
rnacentral:lncRNA from 1 species